rnacentral:rRNA from 1 species
UACGUAGGGGCCAAGCGUUGUCCGGAAUCAUUGGGCGUAAAGAGCUCGUAGGCGGUUCGGUAAGUCGGGUGUGAAAUCUCCACGCUCAACGUGGAGGGGCCACCCGAUACUGCCGUGACUAGAGUCCAGUAGGGGAGUGUGGAAUUCCCGGUGUAGCGGUGAAAUGCGCAGAUAUCGGGAGGAACACCAGCGGCGAAGGCGGCACUCUGGGCUGGAACUGACGCUGAGGAGCGAAAGCGUGGGGAGCGAACAGG